UGGCGAACGGGUGAGUAACACGUGACCAACCUGCCUCUUACAUUGGGACAACCAAAAGAAAUUCUGGCUAAUACCAAAUACUCCGCACAUAUCACAUGAUGUAUGCGGGAAAGCUUUUGCGGUAAGAGAUGGGGUCGCGGCCCAUUAGGUAGACGGCGGGUAGAAGCCCACCGUGCCGAUGAUGGGUAGCCGGGUUGAGAGACCGACCGGCCACAUUGGGACUGAGAUACGGCCCAGACUCCUACGGGAGGCAGCAGUC
rnacentral:rRNA from 1 species